CUAGAUAGUCAAGUUCUGAUCCAG
rnacentral:piRNA from 2 species